GUUAGACGACAAGAGGAACCGCAUUGAAAAUAAGCAAUGAUAUUUCGUUGUUAAACUCUUUAGCGAGCUGACAGAAAAUCGGAGGCCCCGACUGUUUACUAAAAACACAAUUUUCAGCAAUGAUGAAUAUCAUAGUAUUGAAGAUGAAAUUUGCUCGAUGCCAAUAAUAUAACCUUUUACCCUGAAUUAUUUUUCCUUUAAUUUUACCUUUUUAAACUAUGCGUAUGGAUAUUUAGACCUACUUGUAAUAGGAAACUUUUAUAUUGGCGCUUGAAUUAGUUUAAGUUUAUUUAUUCCCUAACCGCUGAACUUGUUUAUAAAAUAUAUAAUUAAGAGUAAUUAUAAAAUAGGGGGAGAGGGAAGUUCUGGUGAAUGGCGGUCUUAACUAUGAGGAUCCUAAGGUAGCAAAAUAAAUUGGCCAUUAAAUGUGGUCCGGUAUCAAUAAUGUAACGAUGGCCUCACUGUCUCUACAACUUGCUCAGUGAAAUUGAAUUGCACGUGCAGAUGCGUGCGACCUUUAGGGGGACGGGAAGACCC
rnacentral:rRNA from 1 species